GACGAACGCUGGCGGCGUGCUUAACACAUGCAAGUCGAACGGAAAGGCCCUGCUUUUGUUGGGUGCUCGAUUGGCGAACGGGUGAGUAACACGUGAGUAACCUGCCCUUGACUUUGUGAUAACUUCAGGAAACUGGGGCUAAUACCGGAUAGGAGCUCCUGCUGCAUGUUGUGGGUUGGAAAGUUUCGGCUGUUGGGGAUGGACUCGCGGCUUAUCAGCUUGUUGGUGUGGUAGUGGCUUACCAAGGAUUUGACGGGUAGCCGGCCUGAGAGGGUGAACAGCGACAAUGGGACUGAGAUACGGAGCAGAAUCCUACGGGAGGCAGCAGUGGGGAAUAUUGCAGAAUGGGCGGAAGCCAGAUGCAGCAACGCCGCGUGCGGGAUGACGGCCUUCGGGGUGUAAACCGAUGUCGACUGUGACGAAGAGGGAGUGACGGUAAUGGGUAAAGAAGCAACGGCUAACUACGUG
rnacentral:rRNA from 1 species